UACGUAGGGUGCAAGCGUUGUCCGGAAUUAUUGGGCGUAAAGAGCUCGUAGGCGGUCUGUUGCGUCUGCUGUGAAAACCCGGGGCUCAACCCCGGGCCUGCAGCCGAUACGGGCAGACUAGAGUUCGGCAGGGGAGACUGGAAUUCCUGGUGUAGCGGUGAAAUGCGCAGAUAUCAGGAGGAACACCGGUGGCGAAGGCGGGUCUCUGGGCCGAUACUGACGCUGAGGAGCGAAAGCGUGGGGAGCGAACAGG
rnacentral:rRNA from 1 species